CACACAGACCAUUUGUGUCGAGGGACUCCUUUCCUUGCCGCAUCCUUGCUGUUCAUUGGCUGAUGUUAUCAUCAGCAACAUUGAAGUCCAGAAGGAGAUUGUGGACAAGAACAGUGAACUGAGACGUGAGGGUUUAUCCUCCUUCCAGCAACAUGUUACAGAUGCCUCUGGAUGCAGCGAAAAACCUGUACAUGUCCACCAAUGUGAGGCCCUGGACUGAAGCUAUCCAAUCCUGCUGUGACGAGGCCAAUGAUAAUAGCUAUAAACUCAAUGGAAUUAUUCAUGGAGAAGUGGUCACUACAACCAGGUAAUAUACAGUAGGCUAACUGAUCAGAUCGGCUGUACUGCAGCAAACGGUCCCAAGAGGAAGUUUGAGUUCCACGAUGUCUGCC